UUACAGAUGGACCCGCGGCGCAUUAGCUAGUUGGUGGGGUAAUGGCUCACCAAGGCGACGAUGCGUAGCCGACCUGAGAGGGUGAUCGGCCACACUGGGACUGAGACACGGCCCAGACUCCUACGGGAGGCAGCAGUAGGGAAUCUUCCGCAAUGGACGAAAGUCUGACGGAGCAACGCCGCGUGAGUGAUGAAGGUUUUCGGAUCGUAAAGCUCUGUUGUUAGGGAAGAACAAGUGCGAGAGUAACUGCUCGCACCUUGACGGUACCUAACCAGAAAGCCACGGCUAACUACGUGCCAGCAGCCGCGGUAAUACGUAGGUGGCAAGCGUUGUCCGGAAUUAUUGGGCGUAAAGGGCUCGCAGGCGGUUUCUUAAGUCUGAUGUGAAAGCCCCCGGCUCAACCGGGGAGGGUCAUUGGAAACUGGGAAACUUGAGUGCAGAAGAGGAGAGUGGAAUUCCACGUGUAGCGGUGAAAUGCGUAGAGAUGUGGAGGAACACCAGUGGCGAAGGCGACUCUCUGGUCUGUAACUGACGCUGAGGAGCGAAAGCGUGGGGAGCGAACAGGAUUAGAUACCCUGGUAGUCCACGCCGUAAACGAUGAGUGCUAAGUGUUAGGGGGUCUCCGCCCCUUAGUGCUGCAGCUAACGCAUUAAGCACUCCGCCUGGGGAGUACGGUCGCAAGACUGAAACUCAAAGGAAUUGACGGGGGCCCGCACAAGCGGUGGAGCAUGUGGUUUAAUUCGAAGCAACGCGAAGAACCUUACCAGGUCUUGACAUCCUCUGACAACCCUAGAGAUAGGGCUUUCCCUUCGGGGACAGAGUGACAGGUGGUGCAUGGUUGUCGUCAGCUCGUGUCGUGAGAUGUUGGGUUAAGUCCCGCAACGAGCGCAACCCUUGAUCUUAGUUGCCAGCAUUCAGUUGGGCACUCUAAGGUGACUGCCGGUGACAAACCGGAGGAAGGUGGGGAUGACGUCAAAUCAUCAUGCCCCUUAUGACCUGGGCUACACACGUGCUACAAUGGACAGAACAAAGGGCUGCAAGACCGCAAGGUUUAGCCAAUCCCAUAA
rnacentral:rRNA from 1 species